UGGGGAAUUUUGGACAAUGGGCGAAAGCCUGAUCCAGCAAUGCCGCGUGUGUGAAGAAGGCCUUCGGGUUGUAAAGCACUUUUGUCCGGAAAGAAAUCCUUGGCUCUAAUACAGUCGGGGGAUGACGGUACCGGAAGAAUAAGCACCGGCUAACUACGUGCCAGCAGCCGCGGUAAUACGUAGGGUGCAAGCGUUAAUCGGAAUUACUGGGCGUAAAGCGUGCGCAGGCGGUUUGCUAAGACCGAUGUGAAAUCCCCGGGCUCAACCUGGGAACUGCAUUGGUGACUGGCAGGCUAGAGUAUGGCAGAGGGGGGUAGAAUUCCACGUGUAGCAGUGAAAUGCGUAGAGAUGUGGAGGAAUACCGAUGGCGAAGGCAGCCCCCUGGGCCAAUACUGACGCUCAUGCACGAAAGCGUGGGGAGCAAACAGGAUUAGAUACCCUGAUAGUCCACGCCCUAAAACGAUGUCAACUAGUUGUUGGGGAUUCAUUUCCUUAGUAACGUAGCUAACGCGUGAAGUUGACCGCCUGGGGAGUACGGUCGCAAGAUUAAAACUCAAAUGAAUUGACGGGGUCAUAGCUGUUUCCU
rnacentral:rRNA from 1 species